CUCACGCACAGGAACGUAGAAAGUUUCUCUGGCAAGGGACGGGACUUUCCUAAGAAAAGAUUUUGUGGGGACAUUAUUACUGCAGUUACACUGGACUGCAUAAAUGACGGAACAGUCUUUCAGCAGAGAAGUAACGUAUUGUUUGAUGUACUUUCUGAAACCACCAGCUCCACAUUAUAAGCAAGUUUGCAGUUAGGCAACAGCUGUCCUGGGACAGGAAAAGGAAGCUUUUGACAACAGUCUCCAAAGCAGUCCCAAGUAGUGUAAAACAAAAGGCAGAGGUUCAUCAAGAACAUCUUUGCUAUUGCAGUGAAAAAGAGAGUAAAGGAGAUGGAAACAAAAGAUGUGGACCACUGAUGAGAACAAAGCAACUAACUUAAAUCUCCACUCCUUGCCCUAUAGCACAUCAUCUUCAUCAAAAGAUGUACAAAGUACUCUUCCUCCUCCCCUUUUGCAUUAGUUGACUAUACUUGUGACUGGCUGUGAAUGUGAGUGCUUUAUUAGCAUUUGAAUAAUCUG